CCCUUAGAUGUUCUGGGCCGCACGCGCGCUACACUGAUGCAUUCAACGAGCCUAUCCUUGACCGACAGGUCCGGGUAAUCUUUGAAUCUGCAUCGUGACGGGGAUAGAUUAUUGCAAUUAUUAAUCUUCAACGAGGAAUGCCUAGUAGGCGCAAGUCAUCAGCUUGCGUCGAUUACGUCCCUGCCCUUUGUACACACCGCCCGUCGCUCCUACCGAUUGGGUGUGCUGGUGAAAUGUUCGGAUCGGCCGUUUGUCGCGGUUUCCGCGUCAUGUGGCUGAGAAGUUCAUUAAACACUCCCACCUAGAGGAAGGAGAAGUCGUAACA
rnacentral:rRNA from 1 species